GGGGCGGGGCGGCAGCAGGCACUAGGGAGCAGUAUGCCCUAGGCAUCUCCUACGCUUGCCAGAGGGAACCGGGCCCAGCUUGAUCGAGACCCAGCGGUAAAUGCUUGGAUCCCAAGUGUUACCUAUUUCCUUGACUGGUUCCUUGUGUCUGUCUAUGACAUCAGGCCCUCGCCUGCAUCCAGUGAGCCAGGCUGACAGCAGCUCCCCAGCCCGGCCACCAGCAUCCCUCCACCUCAUCGGAGAGGAAUGUGCUGGCGCGCUGAGAGCUGGUCUGAAGAAUGCAGAGUUUCCGUGCUACUUUAGAAGAUCCCAAAUGACACUGGGAAAUGUGCAAACGGAGGAACAACAGCCACCAUUCUCUUUCGUCCAGUGAAACCAGGGGGAUUCUGGACCACCGCUUGAGGUCUUGUCUCUGAUAAAAUUUGGGAGUCUGAUCGAUGUAUUGACUUUCAAUUCCCUUCUCUCUGUCAAUCUGUCAGCUCAGCUUCAGGCUACACACUCUACCAAUAAGGCAUCUCAAGUUCAAUGUCCCUAUGCCAACACAAAUCAGACGCUGCACCAAAGAGCUGUUUUCCCAUCACCAGGCUGGAUGUCUUCAAGUAGCUGCCAACCUCCACUGCACUCCAACCCACAAUCGCAUGAGCACAUUUCAAGUCACGUGUGACUGGGGUGCCCUACUGAGAAGCUCAGCUCUGGAACAGCCCCGUCAUCGCAGAAAGUUCUGCUGGAACCUGUCCUCUCCGGAAAAUGUACUCAACUCCUACAAGCAAAUCUUCUGGUAGAAUAAAUUCCACACCCAAAAAGGCCUUCUGUCCCAAUUUUUACCAAGACCUCACAGUUCAAUAUCAGGGAGCUCCUGAGACAUUCUUCCCUGAGAUCCACUCUCAUUUUAAGGGAAAGGCAAAUUACAUUCCGUUCACCCUAACCCGCAUCAACAUGUCUUCCUUCCAUAAAACCUAUUCUCUGUGCAGAGUAAAUAUUUACACAUUAAUAUUCAAUUUAUAUCUUUUUAAAUGCUUGCUCAGCUGUGAGGCCUUUACUAUCUUGCUCAAUAAGGUAAACUAUUUUAGAUCGAAUGCUCUUGGGGGCAGGGCCAAUAUUUAAUGAUGCCAAGCAUAGAAAGCUCUUUAGUGAGUAUGUUUUAAUAAGGGUGAUAGCAUAGUGGGAAAGCAUUAGGCUUUGAAAUUGCCCUGCAUCUGAGGUCCUGUUGUGUUACUUUCUAGCCAGGGACCUUCAGCAAGUUAUUUAAUCCCUCAUCAUUCUCAGUUUAAGCAUGUGUAAAACAGAGAAAAUGAGAACUCUCUUCCUCAUAGGGUGGUUGGGAUAAUUAAGUGAGAUCAGACCUGUAAAUCUCUUAGCAGUAAUUGAUACAUAAUAGCCACUCAUUAAUGUCAGCCGAUGAUGACAUAUAUUAUUUUAAAUAGUUGUAAACAACAUAAAUUUAAAUAAUACUUGAUUGAGGAGGUUGCAAGCAGGAUUCGAAAGAAAUCCAGAAUCCAACUGCUGGGCUUACAGAGUCAAAUGAACAUCUUUAGAUAUGAUGUGGUGGAUAUUACUGAAAUAUCAAACUGGAAAAUAUGUAUCAGAAUAACAUAAAUUUGAACAUUUCCAUUCUGCUUCUCAUAUAAAAGCUGCAUAGAGUUUCCAGUUCUUUGGAAAAUUCACUUCAGGGACGAUGGAACCUUGCUUGGCAAGGUGAACAACUUUCCAUUAGUUAAACGCAAGAAGGAUGAUUUCAUUUAAAAGUGAAACAGGAAAUGGUUAAAUGGGUAAGACCUAACUGAUCGUACUAGUUGUUUUUGAAAAAUCUGAAAAACAAAACAGUUUAAAGCACAUGUGUGCAUUACUUUGCAUUGAGUGCUUAAAGGUCCAUCACCCCAGUGAACAAAUAAGGUGGGGCACACACAUCCCACACACUCAGAGCAUGAGCCAACCUCUCCCAGCCAUCAGUAGCUGAAAUGCAGAGGUAGCUCUGUGUACUCAAUAACCACAUUUUGCCAAGCCAGUCAUCCCGUCUUCCCUUGCUAUGGCUUCUGAAGCUGCUAGGCCAGUGAUUUUUAAAGUGUGCCCCUUGGACCAAGAGCAAUAGCAUCACCGGGAACUUGCCAAUUUGUGGGCCCCACCCUGGACUUACUGCAUCAGAAACUCUAGGGUUGGGGCCACCUGAGUGUAUUUGAACAAGCUCUCCAGAUGUCCAUAGAGCCAGAGUCUGGGCAGUACACCUGGGCUGCACUUGGGCCCUCUAUUCUGGGCGGCUACAGCAGAGAAGACAUUAGGUCUCCUCUUGGACAGCUAGUGUCGAAAAUAUCGUUCACUGGCUCUCACCUCUGUGGACACAUGAUCCAUAUCUGCCUCCUCCACUAGGACUUGGUUUCCUGAUGUGAAAAGUGAUGAAUCAUUAAUAAUUUGCCAAGUACAGCCCAGGAAGAAGGGACCCCUGUGGCUCUAAGGCACCAACAAGCUGGGUCACGUGGAACAAGCUCACCCUGGAACCACACAUUCUGUCCAUCAGGUAGCAUGGAGUCAAGAUCAGACGGCCCAGAAUCAUGUAGCUCCAUGGACUGGGCCUUUGACGGGAGUCACUGGUCCACCAUAAGACGUGGAGCAGCAAUGCAAAGGAAGGGUCCUGCAGCUAAUUUAGGAAAGCCCCCUAAACACUUCUUGUUUAACUUCAUUUUGGAAAACAAAAGAAUCACAGAAUCAUAUAACAAAACCCCAGCAACGAUAUGAAAAACAAACAAAAGGAAAGAUACAGGAAACAUUCUCCAGAGGUUUUUCAAAGCAUAACACUUCUUAACAGUCGAAACUCAUUUGCAGGGAAAUGAGGAAGUAUUCUGGAUCUCAAAACUUGACUCACCAUGUGAAAAAAGUUUUGAGCAACAAUGCCUUAAAUGACUUUUGUUGUCAUCUUUAAAAGAUCUAAAGCAAAAAAAAAAAACCAACCAAAAGCUUCUUUUAGUGCUUCAGUGCUUCCAUAAUGUUGACAGUUGUAUUUUCACAAUUCAAAUACAUUCUCCAGCAGAGCACCUCAUUCAUUUUUCAGUGGCAGGAAAUAAAAUUUGCUAGGCAUAAAUUUAAAGUCUUGUACAUUUUUAAAAACAGGUUUUGUUUGAACAUUUUUUAUAAGAUGUAUGUAGCCACCUACUGUUUUGGUCACUAAAAUAAUUU